rnacentral:miRNA from 1 species
ACACAACAAAAUCAACAAGGCAAUGUUCCAUUUCAAUGGAACACAACACAAAAGACUAGUGUCUUUUUGUCUUGGUGCAAACCUGUCCAAGGGUUUUGAUUGUGAAGGGUAAGGGAGGUGACAGAAGAGAGUGAGCACACAUGGUAUUUCUCUUGCAUGGUUGGUUCAUGCUUGAAGCUUUGUGUGCUUACUCUCUAUCUGUCCCCCCACCACCAUCUCUCUCUUUCUCUCUACCCUCUUCUGUCAGCUUUAUAUAAGUGCGUUGAAUCUGCGUCUAAAUAAAAAAAAAAAAAAAAAAAAAAAAAAAAA